AGUGAACGCUGGCGGUAGGCCUAACACAUGCAAGUCGAACGGCAGCACAGUAAGAGCUUGCUCUUACGGGUGGCGAGUGGCGGACGGGUGAGGAAUACAUCGGAAUCUACUUUUUCGUGGGGGAUAACGUAGGGAAACUUACGCUAAUACCGCAUACGACCUACGGGUGAAAGCAGGGGAUCUUCGGACCUUGCGCGAUUGAAUGAGCCGAUGUCGGAUUAGCUAGUUGGCGGGGUAAAGGCCCACCAAGGCGACGAUCCGUAGCUGGUCUGAGAGGAUGAUCAGCCACACUGGAACUGAGACACGGUCCAGACUCCUACGGGAGGCAGCAGUGGGGAAUAUUGGGCAAUGGGCGCAAGCCUGAUCCAGCCAUACCGCGUGGGUGAAGAAGGCCUUCGGGUUGUAAAGCCCUUUUGUUGGGGAAGAAAAGCAGCAGGUUAAUACCCCGAUGUUCUGACGGUACCCAAAGAAUAAGCACCGGCUAACUUCGUG
rnacentral:rRNA from 1 species